rnacentral:rRNA from 1 species
ACGGGAGGCAGCAGUGAGGAAUAUUGGUCAAUGGACGGAAGUCUGAACCAGCCAUGCCGCGUGCAGGAAUAAGGCCCUAUGGGUCGUAAACUGCUUUUGUGGUGGAGCAAUGAGGCGUACGCGUACGUCGAUGAGAGUACAUCACGAAUAAGCAUCGGCUAACUCCGUGCCAGCAGCCGCGGUAAUACGGAGGAUGCGAGCGUUAUCCGGAUUUAUUGGGUUUAAAGGGUGCGCAGGCGGCACGUUAAGUCAGCGGUGAAAUGUCGGGGCUCAACCCGGGCACUGCCGUUGAAACUGGCGAGCUUGAGUACGGAUGAAGUCGGCGGAAUGUGAUGUGUAGCGGUGAAAUGCUUAGAUAUGUCACAGAACACCGAUUGCGAAGGCAGCUGACUAAUCCGCAACUGACGCUCAGGCACGAAAGCGUGGGGAUCGAACAGGAUUAGAUACCCUGGUA